rnacentral:rRNA from 1 species
GACGUAGGGCGCGAGCGUUGUCCGGAUUUAUUGGGCGUAAAGAGCUCGUAGGCGGCUUGUCGCGUCGUCCGUGAAAACCUGCAGCUCAACUGCGGGCUUGCGGUCGAUACGGGCAGGCUAGAGUUCGGUAGGGGGAGACUGGAAUUCCUGGUGUAGCGGUGAAAUGCGCAGAUAUCAGGAGGAACACCGGUGGCGAAGGCGGGUCUCUGGGCCGAUACUGACGCUGAGGAGCGAAAGCGUGGGGAGCGAACAGG